rnacentral:lncRNA from 1 species
UAAAGACCAUUUUUCUUCCUAAUAACCUUGCUGUUAUUCUAGUGUCUUAGCCAUCUUCAUUUGGUUGUUUACCAAUAUAUGACAUGUGAUUUUAUUUUUCAGAUGGAUACAGACAUAUACAAGAUUGUGGUGACCUGUGUUACAGUUAGAAGUUGGUGAGAAAGACUGCAAAGUGGAGUGGGAGAAUCUUGAAAUUGAACUCAGUCCUGAGGUCUGAUUUUCCUAUUAUUAGUCACUUUCAAGCCAGGUGAUUUGUGACCAUUUAAAUGUUAUGCUAUUUCAAAGUCUUCUACAUCUUUAGAAAAGGACAUGAGGGAGGGUUAGUUAAGUGGGGCAAUGAGAAUGUAGAGUGUAAUGUGCAAAAGCAGGACUAGCAGUUGCUUUGAAGAUAUCUGGGGAAGGCCGGGCAUGGUGGUUCACGCCUGUAAUCCCAGUACUUUGGGAGGCCAAGGUGGGCGGAUCACCAGGUCAGGAGAUCGAGAUCAUCCUGGCUAACGUGAAACCCCGUCUAUACUAAAAAUACAAAAAAUUAGCCGGACGCAGUGGUGGGCGCCUGUAGUCCCAGCUACUCGGGAGGCUGAGGCAGGAGAGUGGCAUGAACCCGGGAGGCGGAGCUUGCAGUGAGCUGAGAUCGCACCACUGCAUUCCAGCCUGGACAACAGAGUGAAACUCCGUCUCAAAAACCAACCAAACAAAAAACAAAAAUUAGCUGGGCAUGGUGGCGCGCGCCUGUAAUCCCAGCACUUUGGGAGGCCAAGGUGGGUGGAUCAUGAGGUCAGAAGAUUGAGAC